rnacentral:lncRNA from 1 species
GCCUUGUUUAGUUCCUGAAAAAUUUUGCAAAAUUUUUCAGAUUUCCCAUCACAUCGAAUCUUUAGACGUACGCAUGAAGUAUUUAAUAUAAAUGAAAAUUAAAACUAAUUACACAGUUUGAUCGGAAUUGACGAGACGAAUCUUUUGAGCCUAGUUAGUCUAUAAUUGGACAAUAUUUGUCAAAUACAAACGAAAGUGCUACUAUUCCUAUUUUGCAAAAUUUUUUGGAAGUAAACAAGGCC